rnacentral:lncRNA from 1 species
UGUAAUAACUCAUUUUUUUAUUAUUAAAUAUUAAUUGAUUUUAUCUUAUACAAUUGUGUUUAAAUUAAAAAAAAAAGGUAAAUGAUUUUGUUUCCCUCUUUUCUUCCUUGUUUUGUUUGGAAGAUUAAAUUCUUUUAGUAGAUAAUUAAAUAACUGAUAAAAUUAAAAUUGAGGAAGAUAAUUCCUUUUGUUACGGAGCGGAAAGCUACUUGGGAGAUGGAGGAGUCUAUUCGAGCGGAAUAUCCACAUCUUUUUUAUUAUUAGGUACUUUUCAUUCUUUUGAUUCCGGGGACGGAAUCCUUUUUAAGGAGUAGGUGAUGUAAUACCCGAAAAAAAUAAUAUUAAAUAAUAAAAAUUAUUUUGUUUGAAAGCAUAUUAAUUGGACUUUGUCCAUUAUUUUGGGUCAAAAUAGUUAUUUAAUUUGUGUGGGCUAAUAAAUAUUAAUAAGAGAUGGGUAAAUUAAUUUAGUACAAAUUGGGCCUUAAAAAUUAAUUGGGUUUAAUUUAUGUGGGUAGUAUUAAAAUCCUAUUAUAAUUAGGAGAAAUAAUAAGAUAAUAAAUAAAACCUAAUUCACUUAAACAUUUUGCCUGAUACGAGUUGGGGAAAAGAAGGAAGAAGCGGCAUCAGCAGCAUAAAUUCAUUGAAUGAGAAAGGUAGGCCAUUGAAUGAUAAUAUAUUAAUUAGGAUGACUUACUGCAAUCUUUAAUUCAUCAUGUACGGAUUGGUAAACCAAAUUAAUAGUAUUAUAUUUUAAUAAUUUAUUUAUUUAUUUAUUUUGCCAUAAAGCUUAUUAACCGAAUUGGUAAAUUUAAUUGAAAGUUGUGUAUAUGAAUUUGAAUUAAUUAAUUUUGUCGACAUAGUUAUAAAAAGUUUUAAUAAUAAAUUUAAUAGUAUUAUGUUAUUAAUGAUUGGAUUGUAAUAAAAUCUUAUUAAAUUAUUUAAAUUGAACGGAAAGAAUUUAAAGAGUUAUUUUUAGUAUAUAAAUUUUGGAGUAUUAAUAAUUGAUAUAAGGCGAUGAUUAAAGGCAUAUUAAAUAGAUUAUGAAUUAUUUUGGAAUUAUUGAAUUGGAUUAUAUUUAAUUUGAGGUGAAUAUGUUUAGGUGAUGAAUAACGUUUCGUAUUUGAUAUCGUUGGCAUUUGAGGGUAAGAUUUUGUGGAGUGUGCUAUAAAUGGUUUGGAAGUAUCAGGUACGGAUUCCGUACUCUUUCAGCGAUACCUUUGUUAAAUUUGAUUUGUUCGUUUGUUUCCUUAUUUCGAAUUCUAUUAUGAUUUCACAUAAUUGUUUCUUGUGAAAUAAAUAUAUUAGUUUCAUUUUAGAGUUGAUACGUAUGACUCGUAUUUGUACUCUUUGAAUUAGGUUAUCAUGUUUAGUAUUAUUUAUUUUGAUAAUUGUAGAGCGGUACAUGUUGCUACCUUCCUUUUGAAACCUUGUGACUAUAAUUUGAUUCGGUUCAACAUGUACAUAUAGAACCCUUUUGUUGGUAUUAUGUCGCAUGUGUUGUGACAUGAUAUUUUUGUUAGAAUAUACCGUAGAGUAUACCUGAGUUAUAACCACCUGUGGGGGUACCACAGGCAUGUCGUCUUGGCACGAGAGGCAUGACACUUUUCGUGGCGGUGUGAUUUGUCCACGGCGUCUCCGUUUUGGGCUCCGAAGGAAGUGGGCCAUUUGGUGUUUUGUUGUGGGAGGCGUAUGGGUUAACCCUAGUUUUCUGUUCUGCGGAUUUGUGAUGUUGUGCCAAACACACAUAUCCGAUUUGCAUACAUUUGGAUUCGCGGUCCAAUGUGUGAUUUGUCUGUGUGGCAUUAUUUUGGUUGCCUGUGUGGCAUCAUUUGACUUUCCUGUGUGGCAAUGUGUAUUUCUGAGCUCAUUCGGUAUGAAAUAACUCCAGCCAUUUGUUUCAGCCUCUUAUUUUAUUGGAUUAGUUUUGUUGGUUUCUGUUCAGUUCAAGUCAUUGAGUUAGUUACUUCAGUUCGUUACUUCUUUAUUCUUUUAUUGGUUUCGUUAAUUAUGUUGAUUCAGAUAUAUUCCAUUCAGAUCUUUGGAUAUUAUAUUUCCGUCCGUAUUUGCACCUGAGGCUUUGUUCAGUUUGUCUCAGUUGUUUUCGUAUAUCAGUUGUAUAUCUUUUGUAUAUCUGUAUCCGUACUGGGCAAUUGGUUCAUGCUGUGUUUUUUUUCGGCAGGUUUGCAGGGGUGAUUCAGGGCUAGGGUGAUGAGAGAGUUGCCUUUGACCAUCUAGGUUGUUUCGAAUUUUAAGUUUUGAUUAUUGUGACUCUAUUUGGAGAAUUGUAUUUAGUACUUUAUUAAUGGAUCACCACUAUUAAUAUUUUGAAGUUAUUAGUGCUCUGUUUACUUAUUUUGAGGUUUGUUGUGCUUUGCACGUGGCCUCCCUUUCCUUUUCGGGAAGGGGGUGUUACAGAGAUGGUAUCAGAGCCAGGUUUUUUCUUGUAGAAAACCUAUUUAGGUUUGACCUGUGAGUUGUGGGUAAACUAUUUGGUAGACGUAUGAGUUUGGUUUGAUUUUGGUUCUUUGUGUGGUUGGUCUCUAUUUUGACUAACUGACGAUUUCUUUUCGAUUUGUAGUUGAUUUGAGGAAAAUGGAAUAAUUUGUUAAGGUGAUUGAGUAAUGAUAUUAGUUAAGAAUUGUGAUUUAAUCAUUGAGGUGAAUAAAGUUAUACUUUGUAUAAAUAAGGAGUGAUCUUAUAUGAGAUGUGAUUAUGGUGUGAGUAUUUGUAUAUAUCGACGAGUAGUUGAUUUUGGAAAAUUAAUCUUUUAGAGUUGUUUUUUUAGUGACAAUUAUUAUGAUCGUUGAAUUGAGGAUUUGAUUAGAGUUAAGUUUUAAUUGAUUUACGUUAAGCUUGUGGAUAAUUUGAGGUUUGUGUAUUGAUGGCAUACUAUGAUAAAAUGAAAAUUAUUAAGUAUAGAGGAUAUUUUAUAAAUUUGAGUUGUUGAUAUUUGAGUUAAUUAGAUUAAUCAUUUGGAAUUACUGAUCAAAUUUGUGGAUAUUUUCUAGUAGGAUGUUGGAGUUAUAUUCUAUGAACUUUCUUAGUGAUAGUAUGAGGAGAUCUUGGAAUUUAUUGGGUUAAGGUUUGCACUAAGAGAAUGAUUGAUUUAUUGAAUGAUUAGAUAUUAAGUGAUGAAUCUUUAAGAGAUUUUGAAAGCUAUAGUUUGCUUAUUCAGAUAGUAGAAUAUAUGAUUUGGAGUUUGGUAUGGUGAUUAAUUAAGAGAUCUUAGUAGUAAUAUAUUUUUGGUGUAAUAUUAUUUGAGAACUAAUUUAAUUUGAGGUUAUGAUAUUUUGAAACUCUUGAGGACUUAGUGAGAGUUGGUGAUAUAAUUUAAGUUGUUUUGUUUAUCUGAUGCCUUUAGAGUUUUGCGUGAAUUUAUGUAAAAUUAAAUGAAAAUAAAUUGCUAAAUCUUUUCAUGUGUGGAACAUAAACAUUUUAUGAAUAGAAGAUAAUUUUAAGUAUUUUGGGUAUUCGAAUCGUAUUUAGAUGAAGAAUUUAUUUUUUUGUGAUUUCGAAUUAUGUUCCGAAGAGUACGUUUACAAGAAUGAAACUCAAGGAUAUUAACGGGGGGCCGCAACAACGGUGGAUCAUGUGAUUUAACGCGAGGAACCUUACCGGCCAAGGCUUGAUACGAUAGCUGACGAAUCUUUUACGAGUACAUUGAUAAUUACGUGGACCUAUGGACUUACCAGGCUUGAUCGUUACAAAUGGCGGCGCUACGUCGUAACUAAAUUAUUAUUUUUUUGUAGCUUAUUUGAAUUCCGAGGACGGAAUUAUUUAAGGGGUGAAAAAUGUAAUAACUCAUUUUUUUAUUAUUAAAUAUUAAUUGAUUUUAUCUUAUAUAAUUGUGUUUAAAUUAAAAAAAAAAAGGUAAAUAAUUUUGUUUCCCUCUUUUUUUCCUUGUUUUGUUUGGAAGAUUAAAUUCUUUUAGUAGAUAAUUAAAUAACUGAUAAAAUUAAAAUUGAGGAAGAUAAUUCCUUUUGUUACGGAGCGGGAAGCUACUUGGGAGAUGGAGGAGUCUAUUCGAGCGGAAUAUCCGCAUCUUUUUUAUAAUUAGGUACUUUUCAUUCUUUUGAUUCCGGGGACGGAAUCCUUUUUAAGGGGUAGGUGAUGUAAUACCCGGUAAAAAA